rnacentral:rRNA from 1 species
AACGGAGUUGAAAGGAGCUUGCUUUUUCAACUCAGUGGCGGACGGGUGAGUAACGCGUGAGGAACCUGCCUCAAAGAGGGGGACAACAGUUGGAAACGACUGCUAAUACCGCAUAAGCCCACGGUACCGCAUGGCACUGAGGGAAAAGGAUUUAUUCGCUUCAGGAUGGACUCGCGUCCAAUUAGCUAGUUGGUGAGGUAACGGCCCACCAAGGCGACGAUUGGUAGCCGGACUGAGAGGUUGAUCGGCCACAUUGGGACUGAGACACGGCCCAGACUCC